rnacentral:lncRNA from 1 species
CAUUGCUUAUAUCUCCCCAAACCUGUACCUCACUUCUCCUCACAACUCAGCUUGAGCCUUACACAGUGUUAUAUCAACAGGACACUGAAGACUCCCAAUCUACCAUCUCCUUUGCAUCUGCCUAAUCUAUUUUUUGGAAAUGGCUCCCCAAAACUGAAGGUAUUUGACACUCAAGAUUUUUAAAGUCACAAUAUACUUUUCCAACUAAAAGUAAACUUCCUCUUGGCAUGUAACCCUGCACUGGAUGAAAUUUAGAUGAAGAUUCUAUCAAAUACAUGGUUCAGAAGUUUGUCAGCUUUGCUUUAAAGAGAAUUUCCUUUUUUUAGAUUGUUACUAUGUCUUGGCAUAUGCCUGCCCUCGUGAUGGUAAGUGUUGCAUUAUUUGUUCAUAGUAUUGCUACUAGUAAUGAAAUGAUAUAAUUAAUAAGGAUAGCUUAAAGUGUCUAAUCUAACACAAUCAAAAUCCACCAAUAGGAAGGUAUAAUUCAUACUUUUAUAUAGCAGUUCAAUGAAUUGACAUUUGAG